rnacentral:lncRNA from 1 species
CUCACAUCCACACUCUCACCAUAAGAGCUGACAACUGAAGACGUCACUCACAUCCACACUCUCUCCAUAAGAGCUGACAACCGCAAACGUCACUGACACCCACACUCUAACGAUAAGAGGUGACAUCUGCAGACGACACUCACACCCACACUCUCACCAUAAGAGCUGAGGCCCACAGAGGUCACUCACACCCAUACUCCCACCAUAAGAGCCGACACCUGCAGAUGUCACUCACAUCCACACUCUCACCAUAAGAUGUGACACCUGCAGACAUCACUCACAUCCACACUCUGUCCAUAAGAGCUGACACCCGCAGACGUCACUGACACCCACACUCUCACGAUAAGAGGUGACAUCUGCAGACGUCACUCACACCCACACUCUCACCAUAAGAGCUGAGGCCCACAGAGGACACUCACACCCACACUCUCACCAUAAGAGGUGACACCUGCAGAUGUCACUCACACCCAUACUCUCAACAUAAGAGCUGACACCUGCAGACGUCACUCACACCCACACUCUCACCAUAAGAGGUGACAUCUACAGACGGCACUCACACCCACACUCUCACCAUAAGAGCUGAGGCACAAAGAGGUCACUCACAUCCAUACUCUCACCAUAAGAGGUGACACCUGCAGACGUCACUCACACCCACACUCUCACCAUAAGAAGUGACACCUGCAGAUGUCACUCACACCCACACUGUCACCAUAAGAGCUGAUGCCUGCAGACAUCACUCACACCCACACUCUAACCAUAAGAGUUGACACCUGCAGAUGUCACUUACACCCACACUCUCACCAUAAGAGCUGAGGCCCACAGAGGACACUCACACCCAUACUCUCACCAUAAGAGCUGAUGCCUGCAGACGUCACUCACGUACACACUUCUCACCAUAAGAGGUGACACAUGCAAACGUCACUCACACCCACACUCUCACCAUAAGAAGUGACACCUGCAAACGUCACUCACACCCACACUCUCACCAUAAGAAGUGACACCUGCAGACAUCACUCACACCCACAGUCUCACCAUAAGAGGUGACACCUGCAGACGUCACUCACACCCACACUCUCACCAUAAGAGCUGAAACCUGCAGACGUCACUCACACCCACACUCUCACCAUAAGAAGUGACACCUGCAAAUGUCACUCACACCCACGCUCUCACCAUAAGAAGUGACACCUGCAGACAUCACUCACACCCACAGUCUCACCAUAAGAGGUGACACCUGCAGACGUCACUCAAACCCACACUCUCACCAUAAGAGCUGUCGCCCGCAGACGUGACUCACACCCACACUCUCCCCAAAAGAGCUGUCGCCCGCAGGAGUCACUCACACCCACACUCUCACCAUAAGAGGUGACAUCUGCAGACGUCACUCACACCCACACUGUCACCAUAAGAGGUGACACCUGCAGACGUCACUCACACCCACACUCGCACCAUAAGAGGUGACACCUGCAGACGUCACUCACACCCACACUGUCACCAUAAGAGGUGACACCUGCAGACGUCUCUCACACCCACACUCUCUCCAUAAGAGGUGACACCUGGAGACGUCACUCACACCCACACUCUCACCAUAAGACCUGACACUCGCAGACGUCACUCACACCCACACUCUCACCAUAAGAGCUGAUGCCGGCACACGUCACACACACCCACACUCUCACUAUAAGAGGUGACACCUACAGACAUCACUCACACCCACAUUCUCACCAUAAGAGCUGACACCCACAGACAUCACUCACACCCACACUGUCACCAUAAGAGCUGAGGCCCACAGAGGUCACUCACACACAUACUCUCACCAUAAGAGCUGACACCCGCAGACAUCACUCACACACACACUCUCACCAUAAGAGCUGAGGCCCACAGAGGUCACUCACACCCACACUCUCACCAUAGAGCUGACACCCGCAGACGUCACUCACACCCACACUCUCACCAUAAGAGCUGACACCCGCAGACGUCACUCACACCCACACUCUCACCAUAAGAGCUGUCGCCCGCAGAGGUCACUCACACCCACAAUCUC